rnacentral:lncRNA from 1 species
UGCUCGCGGCCUUUCCCAUUUUUUUGGUUUAUUUUGGGAAGGGGGGGGAGGGGUCUCGCCUGAUUUUGGGAUUUUUUUUAGGGAUUAUUUUGGGGGUCUCCUUCUCUGUUUUUGGGGUUAUUUUCGGGGUCUCCUUCUCUGUUUUUGGGGUUCUUUUGGGGGUCUCCUCGCCUAUUUUUGGGAUUUUUUUUGAGAUUUUUUUGGGGGUCCUCUCGGCUAUUUUUGGGAUUUUUUUAGGGAUUAUUUUGGGGGUCUCCUUCUCUGUUUUUGGGAUUAUUUUCGGGGUCUCCUUCUCUGUUUUUGGGGUUAUUUUGGGGGUCUCCUCGCCUAUUUUUGGGAUUUUUUUGAGAUUUUUUUUUGGGUCCUCUCGGCUAUUUUUGGGAUUUUUUUAG